rnacentral:rRNA from 1 species
AACGAACGCUGGCGGCAUGCCUAACACAUGCAAGUCGAACGAGACCUUCGGGUCUAGUGGCGCACGGGUGCGUAACGCGUGGGAACCUGCCCUUAGGUUCGGAAUAACUCCCCGAAAGGGGUGCUAAUACCGGAUAAUGUCUUCGGACCAAAGAUUUAUCGCCUUUGGAUGGGCCCGCGUUGGAUUAGCUAGUUGGUAGGGUAAAAGCCUACCAAGGCGACGAUCCAUAGCUGGUCUGAGAGGAUGAUCAGCCACACUGGGACUGAGACACGGCCCAGACUCGUACGGGAGGGAGCGGUGGGGAAUAUUGGACGAUGGGCGAAAGCCUAAUCCAGCAGUGCCGCGUGAGUGAUGAAGGCCUUAGGGUUGUAAAGCUCUUUUACCCGGGAUGAUAAUGACGGUACCGGGAGAAUAAGCACCGGCUAACUCCGUG